GUGAAGCGGCAACAGCUCAAAUUUGAAAUCUGGCCUUGGCCCGAGUUGUAAUUUGCAGAGGAUGUUUCUGGCAGCGUGCCUUCCGAGUUCCCUGGAACGGGACGCCACAGAGGGUGAGAGCCCCGUAUGGUUGGACACUAAGCCUGUGUGAAACUCCUUCGACGAGUCGAGUAGUUUGGGAAUGCUGCUCAAAAUGGGAGGUAAAUCUCUUCUAAAGCUAAAUACCGGCCAGAGACCGAUAGCGCACAAGUAGAGUGAUCGAAAGAUGAAAAGCACCUUGAAAAGGGGGUUAAACAGUACGUGAAAUUGUUGAAAGGGAAGCGCUUGUGACCAGACUUGUGCCGGGCGGUUCAUCCGGGGUUCUCCCCGGUGCACUCCGCUCGGUUCAGGCCAGCAUCGGUUCUCGUUGGGGGAUAAGAACGGCAGGAACGUGGCCCUCCCUCGGGAGGGUGUUAUAGCCUGCCGUACGAUACCCUGAUGGGGACCGAGGUUCGCGCUCCGCAAGGAUGCUGGCGUAAUGGUCAUCAGCGACCCGUCUUGAAACACGGACCAAGGAGUCGUCCAUUAGAGCGAGCGUUUGGGUGUAAAACCCGCACGCGUAAUGAAAGUGAAAUUAGGUGAGAGCUUCGGCGCAUCAUCGACCGAUCCUGAUGUUCUCGGAUGGAUUUGAGUAAGAGUUUUAACGGACGGACCCGAAAGACAGUGAACUAUGCUUGUAUAGGGUGAAGCCAGAGGAAACUCUGGUGGAGGCUCGCAGCGGUUCUGACGUGCAAAUCGAUCGUCAAAUAUGAGCAUGGGGGCGAAAGACUAAUCGAACUGU
rnacentral:rRNA from 1 species